rnacentral:rRNA from 1 species
GACGAACGCUGGCGGCAUGCUUAACACAUGCAAGUCGAACGAGAAUCUGCGGAUCAAGGAUUCGUCCAAGAGAAGCAGAGGACAGUGGCGGACGGGUGAGUAACGCGUGAGGAACCUGCCUUUCAGAGGGGGACAACAGUUGGAAACGACUGCUAAUACCGCAUAACGCGUAGAGGUCGCAUGGCCUUUACGCCAAAGAUUUAUCGCUGAAAGAUGGCCUCGCGUCUGAUUAGCUAGUUGGUGAGGUAACGGCCCACCAAGGCGACGAUCAGUAGCCGGACUGAGAGGUUGAACGGCCACAUUGGGACUGAGAUACGGCCCAGACUCCUACGGGAGGCAGCAGUGGGGAAUAUUGGGCAAUGGGCGCAAGCCUGACCCAGCAAUGCCGCGUGAAGGAAGAAGGCUUUCGGGUUGUAAACUUCUUUUACCAGGGACGAAGACGUGACGGUACCUGGAGAAAAAGCCACGGCUAACUACGUG